ensembl:snRNA U6 U6 spliceosomal RNA
CUGUUUGCAUUGGCAACACAUGGACUAAAACUGAAUGGAUACGGAGAAGAUUGGCUUGGCCCCUGUGCCAGGGUGACAUUCAAAGUUGUGAAGCCUUCCCUGUUUUU